UUAUAAUUGGUCCCUAGUCUCUCACAAAACCACAUUACAUGCUCAUUUCUUCAAGUUUUCUGAUUAGCCAAAUUUGUAAUUUCAUGAAUGCAUAUGAUUAAGCUGCUUGUGAAGUUCAAGUUUUGAAAAUAUAAAGUUGCAGGCGUGAUUGGAAAUUAACAUUUGUUAGGUAAAGUGAUAUUUGGGCAUUUCAUUUUGUUUACUUCCUCAAUCCUGGAUUUCGUAAAUCAGUUUUUAAGUUACAAUGAAUUUUACAGCUGAAAAAGUGUAUAAAUGAGUUUAGCUUCUGUUGUAGGGUAGGCUAUUGCUGAACAUCUAUCUGGUUGUUUUUGUCAGCCAUUUAAUGCAGUGGCUAUUUUACCAUAAACGCAUUGAACUAUAGAUACAUGAAAUAGCCGUUCCCUCUAAGAGCAGCUGUUUUUUUCGGUAUAUUCUUUUUCUCUGCCUUUUCAUUUAUGAUCUGACUUUUAUUAUUGAUAGCCUAUUUUUAAACACUUCUGCUCCACUACCCUCGAUUCCUAAUAGCUUUACAGGCUGAACAAAUCUUGAAUAUAUUUUUUGCCUUUUCCAACUUCUAGACCCAUAACUGAUUCUUGCAGUCUUGGCUCAUUAUCAACUCACACGUCUAUCAAGUCGACCUUUCUCAUGUAUGUCACGGCUUCACGCUUUCAACUUGAAUAUUGUUGGUGCACUGGUUUUCUGGCAUAGGUUGCACUCCAUCCAAGGGUUAGAUAUGGUAGAAAACAACGAGUUUAGAAGAAAAGCAUUAAUUCAAGGAAGAAAUCUGAAUGUGAGGUCCUUGCGAAGAGUGUGUUCAUUAUGUCUCACAGUAUUCUGCAAACCCUGAAGAAAACUGUUUCAAGCAUCUUUACUUACAAUAUUCCAGUUUUCCAUUCUUAUCACUUGAAAUUUGCUAGUUCAAUUCCACUUAUAUUCUUUAACUUGUUAGGGUUGGAUUCAUAGAUUUUCUGUAUUCAUAUUUGAUAAUUGAUAGAGAUUGUUUAAUGAAUUUCCUUAGAAUUAUCUAUCAAGUUGAUGUAUUUUCCAUUAGGAUGUGUUUUUAGACUUCACAAAAUUACAGCUUUUGUAUGGGAACACAAUCCGGGCUGUUGAAUUUAGAGUUUAUGUGGCUAGGUUGUUUUAGAAGGAUAUCUGGGAAGGGUUUCUUCUACUUUUUUCACAUAAAUCACAUGCAAAAGUGAAUCAAUAGGCAUUUUCUAGUUUGGGAAUGUUGUGCAAGACAGUGAAGCUGGGGAGAUUUAACAUCUUGAUGAACUGAUUUAUAACUUGUUUAUAAUAUUAUUGUUAUACUUGAGUGAAGUAUGUUUUCAAUCUUGAGUCAAUGCGCCCAAACUUUUCCCCGAGUUCAGUACUCUUUAUAACCUGAGUGCUGGGUCAUCAUGCCAGCUAAAAGUAUGGAAUGACCCCUGAUUAUAGAUGGACACAAGAUUUUAAACUCACUGUUGACAUUUUCAAUUUGUGAUGCUUUUGGAUAUGUUCAACUAAGAUUCUAAUCUUUUUUAUCAAAAGAAAUGAGGUUGGUUUCACACAUUUAGAUGAGGUAAUAUUAUACUCAUGUAUGGCAUAAUUGUUAUAUCUUGUUUCCCAACAUGUCUCUGUUGUUGCAAAUACAAAUAACUUCAGAGACAUCUAGGAUUGAAUGGGAUUUAGGCAGACACAUUAUUUAUCAGUGUUGCUAUCCAUGCCGUUGUGGGAAUACCUCAAUUGAAUGCUACAUGGAAUUUUAUCUUUGGAUUGCAAACAUGUCUCUUUUUUGGAAAUAUAGCACCCAAGGAGGAAACAGGAAAAAGUUGGGAAAAUUGUGUACAUCGCUUAAAAUAAUCUCCUUUUUUAGCCAUUCUUUGCUAAUCCAUAAGAUCGUGCCAGCCAUCAUUUGAUGUCUGUUUAUCCAUGGGAUGUAUGUAUUAUGGUCAAUUGUGUGUCAGAAGGAAAUAAAUUGCCAUGGCAUUUCAAUUUGUCCAUUGGUGAAAUCAUGACAAUGAUCUUAUGAGAUUCAGGAGUAUACAUCUUUUCAAAGAUAGUAGUUCUAGUUUAUUAAUUUAUACUUCAUCUAGAGGCUUUCAUUGGAGAAUGUGAAUCAGUUCAAUCAUUUUUUUGCUUCUCUUUUUUGGUCAUUUGAUGACAUUCAUCUAAACUUUUGUCAUUAUAUGCAUUUUAUGUUAGCAGGUGCCCAUUGUACCCAGUCACG
rnacentral:misc_RNA from 1 species